CAUGUUUUGUUGAGAUUAGCAGUGUAAAUAUCAAUAACUCUGUUUGUUUACACAGUCCAAAGGGUGUUUUCAGUUGCCAAAAUAAGUAGGUGAAGUUCCAGUAUUUCUAAAUGUUGACCGGGCAGUUUAAUAAUUUUCUAAAAACAAGUCACGGUCUUAAUAAUAAUAUAAUAUCAAUAAUUAACGUGUUGACAUUCGAAUUACAAACAACCAAAGAACACAUCAAACGUGUGAUGCUGCUUGUGGAGAGAACAACAAUUUAUAAAUUACAUUUCCAACUCCUAUUCCUUCACAUCUCCAUUUACAGAGCCAUUUUCUGUCUUCCAUUGAUAAGAACUAACAUGGAAGGAAGUGAGUAAACCGGGAGGAAUCUCAUAAUUACCUGGCUGGCCAAAGACAGGAUGAACGCCCAGUCCUCCUGCCACUGCUCCUCUCUCAGGGAGAAGUGCAGACCAAAGCUCUUGGGAGCAGUCGUGCAGGCUGUCGUGGAGGGUCUUGCGGAGGAUGGAGUCCUUGUCGUAGAUGCCCCAGGUGGCCUGCAGAACAGAGUCCAGCAGACAGUCCCCGGCCGUACGGUUCCAUAAGGCAUACAGGCGACUGUCCAGGCGCGUGCCCAGCUCCAAAGACCAGUUGAUGACGGGAGAUUCCUCUUCCAACUCUAUACACACAGAGAGAAGACAGCAUGGAUUGAUGUGGGGUGAGAGCACUACACAGAGGUCAGCUUCCAUCAGGCCAUGUUCAAACCAUUUUGUGUUUGUCAAACUCUGCAGGAUGGGCAACAAGGAAGUAUAGUUGAACUUUUUAGAAGAACCAGAGUUAUAAUGGGGAUUAAGUGAAAAGUGGAUGGAUCUCAAUGUAUUCACCAAAACGCACAGGAACAGAGCUGCUGAGUUGAAAGUUUAAGAUGUGCAACUGCUGCAGCUAAUUGUUAUAGGGAAAAAAUGAGUAUUGCAAAACCUGCUGCUCAGCAUUUCUAUUUCUUGCUGAUUUAGUAUGAAGCACACCUUUACCAAUUCCUCAGUCACUUACUAUGCAAAAGCCCAGCACACCACUCCUCAGUGAUCUAGUUCAUAGAGGCUUAAAUAGGUCACAGGAUUCCACUAGUAUCUUCAGUACAACACAUUAACACACAGCCCUGGGAAUGUGACUUUGUUAUGUGCGUGCGUGUGUGUGCGUGUGUGGGUAUAUAAAAACAAUGAGGUCAAUAUAAGAAAGGGGACAGAAGAUGAAGCAGGUGCUGGUGAGCUUAUGACGGAAAGAAGAGUUGAAGAGCAGAUGUUGGGUUUUAGAUAUCCCUUAGAAGAGCAGAUCAUGAAUCACAGGCAUCCAAAACCUGCCAUGUCUGAACACGUGAUACACACACAUGCAGAUAACAUGUAGGAAUACUCGGGUACCUUUCUGCACAUCCCGAUCCAACACAUCAUCAAACAGCUUCUCUUGGACAGCAGGCGGCAGGUCCUCUAUAUCUGCAACGACAGAUGAGACAGAUAUGUAUUCAUGCUCAUCAGAACCUAAUGGAAGCACCAGGGGCAACAGAAAUGCUACAGUAAUGACACACAGAGGGGAUGGUCUUUGCAAUUGCUUUCACUGGCUGACAUUUUGUCAAUAGCACACUGUAAAGACAAGCUCUGUACAGCAUGUUGUGCUUCUAUGUGUGUAUUGAACUGUGCGCACCCGAAGCCAGAACACUGGCGGCUAUUCUCUGGCUCAAUAGUGAAUGGCACUGGCUUUGUCUGAAAGAGAGAGAGCGACAGAAAUGGAGGGAGAACGCCUUGCAGCUGGCCCCGGGCCAAAUUCUGUCUGCAAAGAAAUACUUGACAUACAAAAAAAAGAAAAA